UCCGUAAAGAAAAACUGUGUGUGGUUGC
rnacentral:sRNA from 1 species